CAAAUCUGUGGUAUUGAGCAGAAUAUUUUCUGUGGCCCAUCUUUUAUACCAAGACAAAACAAUGUACAUGAUAACACUUCCAAUCAUUAAGAUCAGAAGCCAUGAGAGCCACUGCCUGGUACUGCAUCAGGGCAUUUAUUAUUAUUAUUAUUAUUAUUAUUCAUGUUUGUUAUGCAGACAUAGAAUUAAAAUAAGUUUAUCUCUGAAUUGCAAAUCCAUAGUUUUAGGCUCAAGCUCAAUAAGAAACUUUUUUCUUUUUGGUCACUCUAUCCCAUGAACAUCCAUCUGACGUGUAUCCUGAAUAAUGAUUAAUGAUUAAUAAAAAAGAAAUCUACUUUCACUUUCGA